GAUGAACGCUGGCGGCGUGCCUAAUACAUGCAAGUCGAGCGAACAGACGAGGAGCUUGCUCCUCUGACGUUAGCGGCGGACGGGUGAGUAACACGUGGAUAACCUACCUAUAAGACUGGGAUAACUUCGGGAAACCGGAGCUAAUACCGGAUAAUAUAUUGAACCGCAUGGUUCAAUAGUGAAAGACGGUUUUGCUGUCACUUAUAGAUGGAUCCGCGCCGCAUUAGCUAGUUGGUAAGGUAACGGCUUACCAAGGCGACGAUGCGUAGCCGACCUGAGAGGGGGAUAGGCCACCCUGGAACUGGGACACGGUCCAGACUCCUACGGGAGGCAGCAGUAGGGAAUCUUCCGCAAUGGGCGAAAGCCUGACGGAGCAACGCCGCGUGAGUGAUGAAGGUCUUCGGAUCGUAAAACUCUGUUAUUAGGGAAGAACAAAUGUGUAAGUAACUAUGCACGUCUUGACGGUACCUAAUCAGAAAGCCACGGCUAACUACGUG
rnacentral:rRNA from 1 species